UGCGGAGGGGGCAAGCGUUGUUCGGAAUCACUGGGUGUAAAGGGUGCGUAGGCGGUCCGUUAAGUCUGAUGUGAAAGCCCUGGGCUCAACUCAGGAAUUGCAUUGGAAACUGGCGGGCUGGAGUACGGGAGAGGGAAGCGGAAUUCCUGGUGUAGCGGUGAAAUGCGUAGAGACCAGGAGGAACACCGGUGGCGAAGGCGGUUUCCUGGCCCAGUACUGACGCUGAGGCACGAAAGCGUGGGGAGCGAACGGG
rnacentral:rRNA from 1 species